rnacentral:rRNA from 1 species
GACGUACGCUGGCGGCGUGCUUAACACAUGCAAGUCGAACGGAAAGGCCCCUUUGGGGGUACUCGAGUGGCGAACGGGUGAGUAACACGUGAGUAACCUGCCCUUGACUUCGGGAUAACUUCAGGAAACUGGGGCUAAUACCGGAUAGGAAUCCUUGCUGCAUGGUGGGGGUUGGAAAGCUUCGGCGGUUUUGGAUGGACUCGCGGCUUAUCAGCUUGUUGGUGGGGUAGUGGCUUACCAAGGCUUUGACGGGUAGCCGGCCUGAGAGGGCGACCGGCCACAUUGGGACUGAGAUACGGCCCAGACUCCUACGGGAGGCAGCAGUGGGGAAUAUUGCACAAUGGGCGGAAGCCUGAUGCAGCAACGCCGCGUGCGGGAUGACGGCCUUCGGGUUGUAAACCGCUUUCAGCAGGGGCGAAGCUUGUGGUGACGGUACCUGCAGAAGAAGCACCGGCUAACUACGUG